rnacentral:rRNA from 1 species
UACAGAGGGGGCAAGCGUUGUUCGGAAUUACUGGGCGUAAAGGGCGCGUAGGCGGCCUGUUAAGUCGAACGUGAAAUCCCUGGGCUCAACCCAGGAACUGCGUCCGAUACUGGCAGGCUUGAAUUCGGGAGAGGGAUGCGGAAUUCCAGGUGUAGCGGUGAAAUGCGCAGAUAUCAGGAAGAACACCCGUGGCGAAGGCGGCUCUCUGGGACGGUACUGACGCUGAGACGCGAAAGCGUGGGGAGCGAACAGG